rnacentral:rRNA from 1 species
AUUGAACGCUGGCGGCAGGCUUCACACAUGCAAGUCGAACGAGUGGCGGACGGGGGAGUAAUGCUGGGGCAUCUAGCUUAUGGAGGGGGAUAACUACGGGAAACUGUAGCUAAUACCGCGUACCAUAGGAUGAGCCCAAGUGGGCUGAGGUAGUUGGUGAGGGAAAGGCUCACCAACCCGACGAUCUCUAGCUGGUCUGAGAGGAUGACCAGCCACACUGGGACUGAGACACUGCCCAGACUCCUACGGGAGGCAGCAGUGGUGAAUAUUGCGCAAUGGGGGCAACCCUGACGCAGCCAUGCCGCGUGAAUGAAGAAGGCCUUAGGGUUGUAAAGUACGUUCAGCGGGGAGGCGUUACCCGCAGAAGGAGCGCCGGCUAAGUCCGUGCCAGCAGCCGCGGUAAUUC